AUGCUUUCUGGUACCUAAGAAUGAGUCCAGAGCAACAGACCAUAAGCAACCAAAUGGAAAAUGCUUUGGUACUAUGAGACUCUGGGGUAGGGACCCAGUGCGAUCAAGCUAGGUAGGAGUAAAAAUAAAUAAAUGGGUGUGCAAUGAUUCAUUCUUGAGAAGGUGGGCAAAGGAAGUGGUACUUUAAUUUUCCAUUCCAGUUUCCCUGGCAUCAAAGUAAUCUCUCUUGUGAGCAAGUAGUGCAACUGAUCUCUCUCUCUCUCUUUCACAAUUACCCACCCACCAUUUUACCUACCUACCUUCUUCCUCUUUCUCCUCUUCUCUAUCUACCUGUCUAUUUCCUUCUCUAUGUAACAAUGCUCAUCUAUAUCACAUUCCAACCAAUCUUCUUCCUCCUACUCUGGCACCCAUCAUCAUUUCAAUCCUCUUCCUCCUCCUCUUCCCGGAUGGCCAUUCAUAUUAAUAACUAUAGUUACUCUGGGACCCUAGGCUGAGUCUGGGAGAGGAGUGCCUUACCUCCCCAUUACAUCGGAUGUGUACCAAUGGGUCUUAAUAAUAUUCAUAUUCAUAUUAAGAAAAAUAAGGAGCCCCGGUGGCGACGUAGCUGAGCUGGAGACCGAAAGGUCCCAGGUUCAAACCCCGGGAGCGAUGUGAGUGGCCACUGUUAGCUCCAGCUUCUGCCAACCUAGCAGUUCGAAAACAUGCAAAAUGUGAGUAGAUCAAUAGGUGCCGCUCCGGCAGGAAGGUAACGGCGCUCCAUGCAGUCAUGCCAGCCACAUGACCUUGGAGGUGUCCAUGGACAACGCCGGCUCUUCGGCUUAGAAAUGGAGAGUCAGACAUGACUGGAUUUAAUGUCAGGGGAAACCUUUACCUUUUUAUUAAUAAAAAUAGUUACUCGGGGACCCUAAGCUGAGACUGAGAAAGGAUUACUUCCCUAUGACAGCUGAUGUGUGCCAAUGGGUGUUAAUAAUAAUAAUAUUAUUAUUAAUAACAAUAAUACUCUGAGGAAGACACGAACAUUUUAAAUGGGUUGAAAUGUCCUCCGUGUGUGGUGAUUUUCACCCCUCUAGCCCAAAAACCGAGCGGGGGGGGGGGGGGGGGGAGAGCCCUCCCAUG
rnacentral:lncRNA from 1 species